UACGAAGCAGCAGUGGGGAAUAUUGCACAAUGGGCGAAAGCCUGAUGCAGCUAUGCCGCGUGUAUGAAGAAGGCCUUAGGGUUGUAAAGUACUUUCAUCGGGGAGGAAAAAACAAAACUAAUAAUUUUAUUUCUUGACGUUACCCGAAAAAGAAGCACCGGCUAACUCCGUGCCAGCAGCCGCGGUAAUACGGAGGGUGCUAGCGUUAAUCAGAAUUACUGGGCGUAAAGAGCACGUAGGUGGUUUUUUUAAGUCAGAUGUGAAAUCCCUGGGCUUAACCUAGGAACUGCAUUUUGAAACUGAAAUACUAGAGUAUCGUAGAGGGAGGUAGAAUUCUAGGUGUAGCGGUGAAAUGCGUAGAUAUCUGGAGGAAUACCUGUGGCGAAAGCGGCCUCCUAAACGAAUACUGACACUGAGGUGCGAAAGCGUGGGGAGCAAACAGGGAUUAGAUACC
rnacentral:rRNA from 1 species